rnacentral:lncRNA from 7 species
AUCCCCUCAAACACACAAUCGUUCCUGUGCAUCUCCCAGGCCACCAAAAUAAACAAGGAUAGACCCUUCUUCAGCCUUACAGAGAAUUAAUGUGAAACUACAAAUUACACUGAACUAUUGGUGUCAAAAUCAUUGAUUAUUUUACCAGGGAAAAAACAGAUGGUUAUUUUGGCAGUUUUGGUCCAUUGAUGUAUAUAGGAUACUGUUUUAUAAUAACAGGCAUGGCUGCAAAUGAAAAGGCUAUGCACCACCUCCUGCCUGGUUUCACCCCAGAUGGUAUUUUUGUUGAAAUUUGGUGGGGAUCUGACAUCAUGCAUAACAGUUCUACGAACCAUUGGUAUCCCUUUUUUGGGCAACAUUCAUGUCUGGUAGUUUCCUGCUUUAUGUAGACACUAUUUAUGUCUGGUAGUUCAAUAGAAUUUUGCCUAUAUCUAUACUAGCGGCAUUUACCUGCUAGUUAUAAUUUACUCUAGAUAUUUAUCUUCACACAUGAGAAUACUAUUUUUUUCUCAUUAUUAUUUUUCACCAGGCUAUUCCCAUGUAUGCUGCUACUAUUGCCAUUGCUACUUCUC